GGAUGUGCUUUAUUGCUAAAGCACAUGCUUUGCAUGCAGAAGGUCCCAGGUUCAAUCCCUGGAAUCUCCA